rnacentral:misc_RNA from 1 species
UUUCCGUUGGUGAACCAGCGGAGGGAUCAUUACCGAGUUUACAACUCCCAAACCCCUGUGAACAUACCAUUUGUUGCCUCGGCGGUGCCUGCUUCGGCAGCCCGCCAGAGGACCCAAACCCUUGAUUUUAAACAGUAUCUUCUGAGUAAAUGAUUAAAUAAAUCAAAACUUUCAACAACGGAUCUCUUGGUUCUG